AGCGGGAGGCUUAACACAUGCAAGCCGAGCGGUAGAGAUCUUUCGGGAUCUNGAGAGCGGCGUACGGGUGCGGAACACGUGUGCAACCUGCCUUUAUCAGGGGGAUAGCCUUUCGAAAGGAAGAUUAAUACCCCAUAAUAUAUUGAAUGGCAUCAUUUGAUAUUGAAAACUCCGGUGGAUAGAGAUGGGCACGCGCAAGAUUAGAUAGUUGGUAGGGUAACGGCCUACCAAGUCAGUGAUCUUUAGGGGGCCUGAGAGGGUGAUCCCCCACACUGGUACUGAGACACGGACCAG
rnacentral:rRNA from 1 species